GUGUGUGUGUGUGUGUGUGUGUACUCGGCAGUCUGUGUGUGUGCUAAGUACACAGACAGACUGCUAAGUACACACAGACAGACUG